rnacentral:rRNA from 14 species
UGCAACUCGAGUGCAUGAAGUCGGAAUCGCUAGUAAUCGUGGAUCAGCAUGCCACGGUGAAUACGUUCCCGGGCCUUGUACACACCGCCCGUCACACCAUGGGAGUGGAUUGCACCAGAAGUGGUUAGUCUAACCUUCGGGGGGACGAUCACCACGGUGUGGUUCAUGACUGGGGUGAAGUCGUAACAAGGUAGCCCUAGGGGAA